rnacentral:lncRNA from 1 species
GGGUUUGAGGUUCCCGAUCCCGCCGGCACCAUCGUAACUGGCACUGCCGCCGCGGCCACACCCUCGGCCGCACUCGGUACCACUGCAGGAGGCGCAGGGUGCACGGCCUCCACGGGCGCCGCCGCCGCCGCCUGCUGCCGCUCUAAGGCCUCCUGGAGCCUUUGGAUUUGCUCCCCUUGGCGCUGAACGGACUCAGCUUGCUGCCGC